rnacentral:rRNA from 1 species
UACGGAGGGUGCAAGCGUUAUCCGGAUUCACUGGGUUUAAAGGGUGCGUAGGUGGAAUGGUAAGUCAGUGGUGAAAUCUCCAAGCUUAACUUGGAACUGCCGUUGAUACUAUCAUUCUUGAAUAUCGUGGAGGUAAGCGGAAUAUGUCAUGUAGCGGUGAAAUGCUUAGAUAUGACAUAGAACACCGAUUGCGAAGGCAGCUUGCUACACGAUCAUUGACACUGAGGCACGAAAGCGUGGGGAGCAAACAGG